rnacentral:rRNA from 1 species
GGUUGAAGGUUGGGUAACACCAACUGGAGGACCGAACCCACUCCCGUUGAAAAGGUAGGGGAUGAUUUGUGGCUAGGGGUGAAAGGCCAAUCAAACUCGGAAAUAGCUGGUUCUCCGCGAAAACUAUUUAGGUAGUGCGGUAGGCGAACACCAUGAGGGGUAGAGCACUGAAAGAGCUAAGGGGGAGCGAUCCUUACUAAACUUUAUCAAACUCCGAAUACUCAUGAGUGAUACUUACCAGACAGACAGUAGGUGCUAAGGUCUAUUGUCGAGAGGGAAAGAGCCCAGACCGUCAACUAAGGUCCCUAAAUUAUGGCUAAGUGGUAAAGGAAGUGGGAUAUCCAAAACAGUCAGGAGGUUGGCUUAGAAGCAGCCAUCCUUUAAAGAAAGCGUAAUAGCUCACUGAUCUAAAUAAGACGUCCUGCGCCGAAGAUGUAACGGGGCUAAAGCCAUAUACCGAAGUUACGGGAUUGUAUUGCAAUAGAUACAAUCGGUAGCGGAGCGUUCUGUAGGCCUGCGAAGGUGAACCGUAAGGUUUGCUGGAGGUAUCAGAAGUGAGAAUGCUGACAUGAGUAGCGAAAAGAAGAGUGAGAGACUCUUCCGCUGAAAGUCCAAGGUUUCCUGCGUAAAGCUAAUCUGCGCAGGGUUAGUCGGCCCCUAAGGCGAGGCAGAGAUGCGUAGCUGAUGGGAACACGGUUAAUAUUCCGUGACCAGUUAGGAAGUGACGGAUACAGUAGUUUGUACAUGCUUAAUGGAUUGUGUGUGCAAGUGAUGUGUCCCGGGAAAUAGCCCUAACGAAGACCGUACCCGAAACCGACACAGGUGGACAGGUAGAGUAUACCAAAGCGCUUGAGAGAACUAUGUUGAAGGAACUAGGCAAAAUGCUUGUGUAACUUCGGGAUAAGCAAGCCCGGUUUUAAGGCAACUUAAGGCCGGGGGCACAUACUAGGGGGUAGCGACUGUUUAACAAAAACACAGGACUCUGCGAAAUUGAAAGAUGAAGUAUAGGGUCUGACGCCUGCCCGGUGCCGGAAGGUUAAGGAGAGAUGUGAGAGCAUUGAACUGAAGCCCCGGUAAACGGCGGCCGUAACUAUAACGGUCCUAAGGUAGCGAAAUUCCUUGUCGGGUAAGUUCCGACCU